UUUGAAGCAUUGAAGCCGCAAGGCAGAUGUGCGGAUGACGGGGGAUAUAGCGGCAGACUGGUGAGUAACACGUGAGUAAUUUACCUCUAAGUCGGGGAUAGCCUUGCGAAAGCGAGGGUAAUACCCGAUGUGUUUAUUCUGUCAUAAGGCGGGAUAAGUAAAGGGGGCUCGCAAGAGUUCUUGUUUAGAGAUGAGCUCGCGUCCUAUCAGCUAGUUGGUAGGGUAAUGGCCUACCAAGGCUUUUGACGGGUAGCUGGCCUGAGAGGGUGGUCAGCCACAUGGGGACUGAGACACUGCCCCAACUCCUACGGGAGGCUGCAGUCGAGGAUAUUUAGCAAUGGGGGAAACCCUCCUAUGUGACGCCGCGUGAGGGAUGAAGGUCUUCGGAAUGGACCUC
rnacentral:rRNA from 1 species